UAUGUCGAAUGAGUUACAAAU
rnacentral:piRNA from 1 species